CCUACGGGAGGCAGCAGUGGGGAAUUUUGGACAAUGGGCGCAAGCCUGAUCCAGCAAUGCCGCGUGCAGGAUGAAGGCCUUCGGGUUGUAAACUGCUUUUGUACGGAACGAAACGGUGAGCUCUAAUACAGUUUGCUAAUGACGGUACCGUAAGAAUAAGCACCGGCUAACUACGUGCCAGCAGCCGCGGUAAUACGUAGGGUGCGAGCGUUAAUCGGAAUUACUGGGCGUAAAGCGUGCGCAGGCGGUGAUGUAAGACAGAUGUGAAAUCCCCGGGCUCAACCUGGGACCUGCAUUUGUGACUGCAUCGCUAGAGUACGGUAGAGGGGGAUGGAAUUCCGCGUGUAGCAGUGAAAUGCGUAGAUAUGCGGAGGAACACCGAUGGCGAAGGCAAUCCCCUGGACCUGUACUGACGCUCAUGCACGAAGCGUGGGGAGCAAACAGGAUUAGAUACCCUGGUACGUCCACGCCCUAAACGAUGUACUACGUUGGUUGUUGGUCUUCACUGACUACGAGUAACGAGACUACGCGUAGAGUCGACCGCGUGGGAGUCGCGAGUAGUUAGAAACGUUAAGAGUAGAGACGAGAGAGACGCGACGACGGACGACGAGGAGGAGG
rnacentral:rRNA from 1 species